CUACGGGCCGCACCAGUGAGGAAUAUUGCACAAUGGGGGGAACCCUGAUGCAGCAACGCCGCGUGGAGGAUGACGCAUUUCGGUGUGUAAACUCCUUUUAUAUGUCAAGAAAAUGACGGUAGCAUAUGAAUAAGCACCGGCUAACUCCGUGCCAGCAGCCGCGGUAAUACGGAGGGUGCAAGCGUUACUCGGAAUCACUGGGCGUAAAGGAAGCGUAGGCGGGUUGGAAAGUCAGGUGUGAAAUCCUACAGCUUAACUGUAGAACUGCACUUGAAACUUCUAAUCUAGAGUAUGGGAGGGGGAGAUGGAAUUAGUGGUGUAGGGGUAAAAUCCGUAGAUAUCACUAGGAAUACCUAAAGCGAAGGCGAUCUCCUGGAACAUUACUGACGCUAAGGCGUAAAAGCGUGGGGAGCAAACAGGAUUAGAUACCCUCGUAGUC
rnacentral:rRNA from 1 species